rnacentral:lncRNA from 1 species
GCACUCACUACUUGCUCAUUUAGGUUCACAUUAACGACAACAUGCAAGUGAUAAAGACUUUCAAUCAAAAGAUCAAAUGCAACUAAUUUAUUUCAUAAAUAAAUAGAACAAUAGUCUUUAUUAAAUUAAAAAUAAAUCCAUCCCGUGCUAGUACAGAAAUCAAAAUCAAAUUUCGACUAGCUACAGGAACAAAAUAACAGUCUUUUAAAUCUAAUCUAAAAUCUGAUGAUA